rnacentral:tRNA from 1 species
AAAAAGAUAAGCUAAUAAAGCUACUGGGUUCAUACCCCACCUAUAAAGGUUAACCCCUUUUCUUUUUA